GCUAAUAUAUAGUGUUUUUUUCUUCUGUCAUCAUUACGUUUUUUUUAAAAGAUUUUAUUUAUGUAUUUAUAAGAGACAGAGGCAGAAGGAGAAGAGGAGCCUGAAGCUGGCCUCAUUCCCAGGACCCCAGGAUCACAACCUGAGCCAAAGGCAGCUGCUCAACCACUGAACCACCCAGGCAUCCACUUCUAUCAUCUUCAUUUGAAAAAAAAGGGGACAAUACCAUAUUUAAUUGGCAUCUGGCUGCUAUACUCACAUUUUUGUUGGCCUAUACCAGGGAUAGAAUUUGCUGCAUCAAAAGGUAGGAUUAUAUUUGAUUUUAAAAGAACUCCAAACCACUUGUAAAACUGGUUAUUUUAUUUUCCAUUUUUGUAGCAGUACCUGAGAGUUCCCAUUACCUACAUCUUUGCCAGCCUUCUUAUAAGCAACAUGGAGUUGUUUUAUUUGUUGUGUUCGUCUGACAAAUGUUUUCUUUUCAUUAGAGCAUUUCGUACAUUUGUAUUUCAUAAAUUGAUGUUUUGUGAUAUAAAUCUAUAAUAUCACUAUUUGCUUAAUAUAUGUUCGACCUACCUCUUCCUCUCAUUCAUGAGUCCAUCCAAAGCUAUGCUCUGCUUUCGUGCCUUCUCAGUCACUUCUAGCUUUAUCUGAGGCCCUGGAGAGAAAAGCAGUCCCAAUUACAAUUUUUAUAAACAUUCCACUGUAUAUGUUCAUAUAUAUAUAUAUAUAUUUAUUUUAUUUUAUUUUAUUUGAGAGAGAAAGAGAGAGCACAUGAGAUUGCAUGUGUGGUAAGGUGGGAACAGAAGGAGAGAAUCUUAAGUAGACUCUGUGCUGAGCAUAGAGUCUGAUACAGGGCUCUAUCUCAUGACCCUGAGAUCAUACCUGAGCUGAAACCAAGAGUCUAACUCUUUACCAACUGAGCUACCGAGGUGCCCCUGCAUAUGUUCAUAUAUUAGUGGCUUUUAUGUGCUAGACAUUUUUAUAAACCUUAUCUCAUUUUCUCUUUAAAAAAAUAUUUGCAAGAGAAGAGGGAAGAAAAGAGGAGGGGUGGGGAGACAAGUCAGGUAAUGUGACUGAGGCUAGACUGACAGAUUUAGGAAGCUGGAGAGGGUAUGGCCUCAAGUUUACUUAAUCUCGAAGUCCAUACCAUUUUCAGAGCAUCACAGUGCCUUUUACAAUAGCAGACUACUGACAUUUGCUUUUUAAAUAGGAAAGAUUUAAAACAUUUUAUAAUUCUACUUAACAAAUGGCUGUAUCUUUCUCUAAGAAUAUUUAAGUAUAAUUUUACAAACUUAUAUGUUUGGAAACCUAUAUGUCAUAUGACCCCCCCCCACACACACACUCUUAUGUGUAUAUAUACCUAUAAUACAUAUAAUUUAAAAUGUGCUCU
rnacentral:lncRNA from 1 species